GUAGUGAAAGAGUACAGUAGGGUUCGCCACCAUCCCCUGCCGGAGCCUCGUGGAGCCUUAGGUGCUUUCGCUCAAUAAACACUCACAACGCUCGGCCUGGGAAUCGAAACCGUGAUCCCAUGACCGCGAGUCCGCCGCCCCAACCACUGGGCCACCGCGCUUCCACGUGUACGUUUAAUAACACAGACACUCACACACUCAUUUAAAAUGUCUUAUGCUAUAAUUGACUAUAGAAAGAUAUGUGUAUGAAAUGCUAUAUUGUUAUAAUCGAAAUGAAAAAAUGACUUUUUGACAGUCAUGGGGUGUAAUACUAUAUAGUAAGAGAGACACACACAUUUAUACAUUCACGCAUGUCAGUCGUCACAUACGUAUAUGUAUGUGUAGAUUUGUGUAGUUUGAGUAACAUACCUAACGCAGAAACACACACGCACUUAGGUACAUGCACAUUCAUACGCCCACACACACACACGCUCAUACAAAGUGUAGCGCUGUCGUUGAACGUAGAAACAUCGUAGUAUGAAAUGUCCUGUGCUAUAUUUGACUACAGAAAGAUUAUCUCUAUAAAAUGAUAUAAUGUUUUAACGGAAAUUAAAAAAUUACAUGUUGACACACGUGGAUUAAGGGACAACAGAAAACAAUCCAAAUGUUAAGGUUCCUUGAAAAGAAACGUGCAUUGAUAGGCUUUUCCCUAAUCGUCUUGUUGGUGUUGCUACGUUUGAAAGCAGACUCACACUCAAAAAAGUACCAAAUAAACAGACAGAAAAGCCUAGUUAAUAAGUCAGAAAAAAACAAGUUUUUAUUAGUCCUUGCCACCACGUGGAACUUAUCACCAGAAAAACUUGCAAUUUAUGAAAAUACAGCCCAAAUAUGGAGGAGUUGGCCAUUAUUAUUGCAACCUGUAUUAUAUAGAUCAGCAGUACCCAAGGAUAAUGUAAAUAGAAGCCAGCUGGAUAUGUAUUUAAAAAAUAAUUGGAAGAUAAAGAACGUUCCAAAAGUAGCCUGCGGUCAAAUACCAGUUUUAAAAUCGAUGAUUCUUGAAGUUCGUGCCUCUUUUACUGAUCCCGACUUUUAUGGCUAUGCAAAUGCUGACAUUCUUUUCGAUCAGAGUCUUAUCAGUACGCUAAAAACUAUUAAGGAAAAGAUACCACAAAAUAAACCUAUAUUAAUAGUUGGUCAGAGGAUAAACGUUAAUUUUACAAAUCAUACAUACGUUGUGAAUUCUCAUAAUGUUCGUAAGAUAGCUAAAAGCGGAGAUUUAAUGACAGGCAUAGCAGUGGAUUACUUUAUUACAAAUCGACACUUUCCUUGGAAUCAAAUCUUUGAUUUCGUUGUUGGACGUAGUAAAUAUGAUAAUUGGUUGAUCUCUUUUGCAAAUUCUCAAAAUAUGAUAGUUAUUGAUGCUACAAAAACUCUAACUGCUGUUCAUCAAACAACAACGGACGGUAAUAAUGCAGGAUGGAAGCAUCCUAAUAAAUACUGUAAUGUUCAUAUCAUCCAAGCUAAUUCCCCAAAAUUCAAAAUGACUUGGGGUUCUACAGUUUGUGCCCCUUAUUAUACUAAAAGCAAUCGAACAACAAAUGAGAUAGAUAUUCUAUACAGAAAGACCUCUCGAUCAUGCAGACCUUAAAUAUAUUAGUGCACCAGAAUAUUAAUCAUUGUAUUUUGAAAUAUUCUUCCCAAAACAAAAGAUAUAGAUAUUUAUUUAAAAUUGGAUUCGUAAAUAUCAGUUUUAUUAAGGUGUAGCCGGAACUGUAAGAGCCCGGCAAUCUAGAGUCAAUAAAAUCUUGGAAGGCCUGUUUUACAGCAUCGUCGGAAUUGAAAUUGUUUCCUAUCAAAUAGUUAUCCACAUUCUGGAAGAAGUGGUAGUCAGUAGAAGCAUGAUCAGGUGAGUAUGAUAGAUGAUGGAGAACUUCUAACUCCAGCUCCUGUAGUUUCACCAGUGUCAUUUUUGCGAUGUGUGGUUUGACGUUGUCUUGCAAUAAAAUAGGAGUGGAUCUAUUGAUUAAUAUAAGCUGGGGUUUUUUUUUUUGUAAGUUUCUGCAACAUUUGGUCCAGUUGGCCGCAGUAUACUUCGCCGUGAUUGAUGAGCCAGGUUUAAUGAAAUCAUAAUAGAUCACACCUGCGCCAGACCACCAAACACACACCAUCAGCUUCUUUUGAUGAAAUUUGCAUUUUGGACUGUUUUGGUGGCUUGUUUUUGUCCAACCAUUCUGCUGAACUUUUACGGUUGUUGUGUUGCAUCCAUUUCUCAUCACAUGUUACAAUUCAAUUCAAAAAUGAUUACGUUUUGUGACGAGAAAGUAGCAUAAUGCAGGCUUCCAAACGUUGCUGCUUCUGAUUUUCAUUGAGUUCAUGUGGAACCCACUUAUCCAACUCUUUCACUUUACCGAUUUGAACUAGGUGAGUCAAUAUUGUUUGCUUGCUAACACCAAACAACAACACUAAUUCACGGGCUCUUUGAGAUGGAACUGACUCGACAAUGGUUUUCAUCAUUAUCAAUCUUUGUUUCUGAUCGACCGCGAUGCUCAUUUGUGAGGUCAAAGUUACCAGAACGAAAUUUUGCAGACCAUUUUGAUACUGCCUGUCGUAUAAUAACAUUUGAAUGAAAUUCUCCAUUAAUAUUCCGAGCUGUCUGUGAUACUCCAUUUCGAAGAAAGAACUCAUAUUUCAAAACUGAUUGAAUUUCCGACUUAUCUGUCUCUAAAUAUAAAUAACAAAAAAUGAUUUAUAAAUACUCUAUAGAGUGCAAAAUGAAUUAGAAUAAAGAAAUAGAUGUGUCAGCUUUUUAACAAAAAGAAAAGAUUGUCAAAAUAUAUUAAUGACGCAAAAUAAGCAGUUGUCAAAGUUUAUCAUAUACCUUACUACAAAUUUCAUACUUGACGACUUAAUAUAUAGGCGCAGGAGUGGAUGUGUCGUAAGUAUCUUACUUCCCAACAACAUGGUUCUGGGUUGAGUCCCACGGCGUUGCACUUUGGGUAAGUGUCUUCUACUACAGCCUCGGCCGACCAAAUCCUUGUGUACGGAUUUGGCAGACGGACAUUGAAAGAAGCCCGUCGUAGAUAUAUAUCUUUCAAAUUUUCCAGUACUACAACAUAUUUGUCUUUCUCCCUCUAUUUCACUCAUUCACUUAAUUUAAACCUUUGGCAUCACGUUUACAACCCCCUUCCUUUGUAUCUCUAUAUAAACAAGCGUUCUUGUUCCUAAUGCCCAUGGAAUAAUAUCAUUGAUCCCUUUAUAUCUCUAUGUAAACAAACGUUCUAACGUUCACUGACCAUGUAACAUCUUAGCUCGUAAUUUACCUCAUCAUUUCGUAUUUGUCUUGCUUUUAUAUGUUUCUUUAUGAAUUCCCUGAAGAAGAAUAUAUGAGGAAUCCCAGCAGCUCUUACUUCUUUGUGCAAGUGCUCUCAUAUAUUUCGAAAUAUGUGUAGGAAUUAAAGGAACUUUUAUUUAUAUGCGCUUUGCUCCAUUUAAUAUUUUUAUUCAUAUCUUCUCAAAAUGUAUCACUUUAACUUGGUAUCUCUAUCUGUAAAACGGCUGUAAUAUCUUGGUUUCUAGUGUAAUUUUGCUACCUCUGGUAACCAUUAACAUA